ACGGGUGAGUAACGCGUGGGCAACCUGCCUAUCACAGGGGGAUAACACAGGGAAACUUGUGCUAAUACCGCAUAACACAACGAGGUAGCAUUACCUUGCUGUCAAAGGAGCAAUCCGGUGAUAGAUGGGCCCGCGUCCAAUUAGCUAGUUGGUGAUGUAACGGACCACCAAGGCGACGAUUGGUAGCCGAACUGAGAGGUUGAUCGGCCACAUUGGGACUGAGACACGGCCCAGACUCCUACGGGAGGCAGCAGUGGGGAAUAUUGCACAAUGGGGGAAACCCUGAUGCAGCAACGCCGCGUGAAGGAUGAAGGUUUUCGGAUUGUAAACUUCUUUAGUCAGGGACGAAUAAAAUGACGGUACCUGAAGAAUAAGCCACGGCUAACUACGUGCCAGCAGCCGCGGUAAUACGUAGGUGGCGAGCGUUGUCCGGAAUUACUGGGUGUAAAGGGCGUGUAGGCGGGAAUGUAAGUCAGAUGUGAAAUCCCAGGGCUCAACCCUGGAGCUGCAUCUGAAACUAUGUUUCUUGAGUGUCGGAGAGGAAAGCGGAAUUCCUAGUGUAGCGGUGAAAUGCGUAGA
rnacentral:rRNA from 1 species